rnacentral:lncRNA from 1 species
CCACACGUUCCUGUUCACUGCCAUCUUGGAAAUGUCCUGUUGAGUGGGUGUUGGUGUGGGUAACAAUAACAUUGUUUUCAUAAUAUGUGCUGGCAGAUUAGCACACUUCUCUGCAGUGUUAACAGUUGUAAUUAAGGAAUAAACAGCGCAGGGUGUCAGUCCGAUGACAAUUUCAUCUAUAGUGUCACAAUACAAAAUGUCACAAAAUAUUAGAGCUGUUAUAUAGCUACAAAAAGUAUCUGCUUAAGAGCCGAAGGCAUCUUUAAGAGAGGAGACAGAGAUAGGAAACGGAACACUGACUUAGCGGCCAGAACAAUUUUAUACAUUCUCAAGACUGUCAUGAAAACAAAUUGGUAAUUUUUUCUGUUACAUUAUAGUUUGGGCUCUAGCCAUCCAGUUGAUUUAGCAGGAAAAUGCAGGUUUCUUAGCAGCUCCAAACCAGUAAACAGAUUUAGAUGUAGAAAGGAACAUGAGGAAGGUUUCUUUUUUUUUUAAACAUCCAGUCUCCCAGCAUAUGCACAUAAGAAGGUGAAUGAGGCAAUGCGAAACUUAUUUUUCCUUAGUCAAGUGAAAAAAGGCUAACCAUUUGUUAGCUGGUAAAAUAUUGUGUCAAGUAAGCCGGAACAUUCCAAAAUUAAACAGUGGUUGAUAUGUUAACGUCCUCAAAUAUUUGAGUGCACACUUCCUUUGAGAUCUGUAAAUUAAAUCACCAGUAGGUUGAAUUAAAAUACAAAAUGAAUGGCAGUGUAACCUCUCAGGAAAGGCUUUGUGUUGUUUUUUUUUUCCUCCCCGACAUUGAUUGACUUGCUAGCUUGGUUUGGGCAUUUUAUUAAGUAUAAUCUACAAAAGCUUGCACAAUGUAGGGCAAAGAGAAGGUGUUUAAAGGCUGUAGCCAAGCCAUUUCUUCGUUUUGGUUAAUACUUCACAAAUUCCCACAGAUGACUUUCUUCUUGGCCCCUGCAGAGACUACCCCACCCCAUCCUGCCUUGUAGACUGUAACAGAUUGCACCACAUGGUGUCUGUUAAAAAAAAAAAAAUCCCAUGGGCUCUGGAUAUCCCAUUAAAGGGUUUUAUAUUUCUGUGGGCAAAUUAGCUUAACACAGAAAUUUCCAAACAUUGUUCUAUGGGACGAAGGAAGGUAAACUACAUACAAAGUCUUUUUCUACGACUAGGGAUUACUUACUACAAGGAAACAGGAAAUACCUACUCAUACCUCCUUACCCCAAAUCAAUAUUUUUUAAUUUUUAUUAUUUUUAGUUAAAUGUAUGCUGUGGGGGUACACGAAUGCAGGUGCCAAAUAGGUCAGAGGCAUUGCCCCCCAUCCCUUCAUGCUAGAGUUACGAGUUGUGAGCUGCCCAAUGUGGGUGCUGGGAACAGAACUCGGGUCCUCUACAAAGCAGUAGACCUCUGAACUGCUGAUCUGUGUCUCAAAUCAACCAAAUCAGUGUCUUAACCAAAAUAUACUUCUCCAUGAACAUGACAUAAUGGAUUUGGGUGUUUGUUUUUAAAGAACAAUAGAGUUUGAAGGGAAACUGUUAGUGUUUGUUUUGGGGGGUUUAUUUGUUUUUUUGUUUGUUUGUUUGUUUGAUUGUUUUGUUUUUAAGAGCAAA